GUGCCAGCAGCCGCGGUAAUACGUAGGUGGCGAGCGUUAUUCGGAAUUAUUGGGCCUAGAGAGUUCGUAGGGGGUAAUGUAAGUCCGGUGUGAAAUCUCGAGGCUCAACCUCGAAACUGCAUUGGAAACUGCAUUACUUGAGUGUCAGAGAGGAAAGCGGAAUUCCUGGUGUAGCGGUGGAAUGCGUAGAUAUCAGGAAGAACACCGACGGCGAAGGCAGCUUUCUGGCUGGCGACUGACCCUGAUGAACGAAAGCUAGGGUAGCGAACAGGAUUAGAUACCCUGGUAGUCCUAGCUGUAAACGUUGUGCACUGGAUGUGGGCGGAUUUGGUCCCGUCUGUGUCUGAGCGAAGGCGUUAAGUGCACCGCCUGGGGACUACGGCCGCAAGGCUAAAACUCAAAGGAAUUGACGGGGGCCCGCACAAGCGGUGGAGCAUGUGGCUCAAUUCGAGGCAACGCGAAGAACCUUACCUGGGUUUGACAUAUACCUGACCGCCGGUGAGAGCCGGUUUCUCUUUGAGCAGGUAUACAGGUGCUGCAUGGCUGUCGACAGCUCGUGCUGUGAAGUGUUCGGUUAAGUCCGGCAACGAGCGCAACCCACGCUGUUAGUUACCAUCAGGUAAUGCUGGGGACUCUAACAGGACUGCCCGUGCUAAGCGGGAGGAAGGCGUGGACGACGUCAAGUCCGCAUGGCCCUUACGCCCAGGGCUGCACACGUGCUACAAUGGCCGGUACAGAGGGUCGCCACUCUGCGAAGAGGAGCUAAUCCCGAAAACCGGCCUCAGUUCGGAUUGGAGUCUGCAACCUGACUCCAUGAAGUAGGAAUCGCU
rnacentral:rRNA from 1 species